CUGGUGGUAUUGCAUGUCAGAUCCUGUUUAGGCAAGCAAANGCAUGUCAUGCACACCUUUUCAAUUGUAGACUCAAGUGUGGCUUUGGGCUUGGUCUGGCUCGGUUUCUUGUGUUGUGUACCUCUACGAAGGUAAUCGGGUUGUCCUAAGCGCUCCAAAUUCUAACAUGCACCAAACCCUUUGUGGUUGUGGUGUGAGUUUGACCACAAAGCAUGCAUAGUGUUCCGCUUCCUAGGUGUUGUACUAGUGCUUUGGGUUGCCGGCACACUAUGGAUUUGCUUGAUCUCACGGAUAUGGAAAAUUGAGUGGGUACGGNGCAUGGCCUGGUCNGCUUCUAUUUGCCCGAAAAUUAANCGUUCGCCGCCUUUGCGUACGACUGUUGUUCUCGUUUUGAUUGGGUCUUUUGUGGAUCCANUCAUACNUUAACACUGUCNUGGAUGAA
rnacentral:misc_RNA from 1 species